rnacentral:rRNA from 1 species
UACGGGGGGGGCAAGCGUUGUUCGGAAUUACUGGGCGUAAAGGGCUCGUAGGUGGCCAACUAAGUCGGACGUGAAAUCCCUCGGCUUAACCGGGGAACUGCGUCUGAUACUGGAUGGCUUGAGUUCGGGAGAGGGAUGCGGAAUUCCAGGUGUAGCGGUGAAAUGCGUAGAUAUCUGGAGGAACACCGGUGGCGAAGGCGGCAUCCUGGACCGACACUGACGCUGAUGAGCGAAAGCCAGGGGAGCAAACGGG